rnacentral:lncRNA from 1 species
CCUGAGGCCUACAGAAACAGGAUCUCCAAAGGUGGCUUUUGUACUUUUAAGCUUUAUAGGAGAUGGGUUGAGAAGGGCUAUUUGAGCCAGAGCAAUCAUUUUGCAAUGUCCGAGAAACUAGUUUCUACCUGUAAAUAGCUAGGAGUGGCCUGAAGAGUUAAUAGUCUCACUCCCCAAAAGGGCAGACGUUGUGGAUUUCCACUCACAGUCAAGAUAGAUUUGAACUCAAGAGGGUAGUUCUACGUUGCGAGGCAUGUUAAGAACAUGCAAGUCAAAGAAGUCACGAGACGCAAUGGGGAAGUGAGAAAGGCUUCGACGACACAGAGCAGAGCAGAGGCAGCAGGGUCCAGAAGCUUCACUGUGACUGCUGGCAAUGACAGGGC